rnacentral:sRNA from 1 species
GCCGGCUGAGUGAAAGGGUGGGUGAUUAUCCCGGGAGAUAGGCCGAAAGGGCCGAAGCGAAAUAUUAAAAAGGGAGCAGUUCCCCGCUCCAUCCCCAAUCUAGCGGAGGUAAAGAAGAAAGGCAAAAUGAAGAAGCUCGGCCAAGCAAUGGAAGAAGAUCUAAUCGUGGGACUGCAAGGGAUGGAUCUGAACAUUGAGGCUGAAGCACUGGCUGGCACUGGCUUGGUGUUGGAUGAGCAGCUAAAUGAAUUCCAUUGCCUCUGGGAUGACAGCUUCCCGGAAGGCCCUGAGCGGCUCCAUGCCAUCAAGGAGCAACUGAUCCAGGAGGGCCUCCUAGAUCGCUGCGUGUCCUUUCAGGCCCGGUUUGCUGAAAAGGAAGAGCUGAUGUUGGUUCACAGGUGAAGGCUUGGGAGCCUUGUAGGGAUGGGGAGGAGCCUGCCCUGGACAAACCAGGGCAAGCUAAACGCUUUGGGAAGGAAUGUCAUGGUCUCUGUGGCCAGCCUUGGGCAAGUCACUGAGCCUCUCUGAAUCUGUGUCAUCGCCUGUAACAAGGGGACCAGUAAACAUAAGUUC